UACGUAGGGGGCAAGCGUUGUCCGGAUUUAUUGGGCGUAAAGAGCGUGUAGGCGGCUUGGUAGGUCCGCUGUGAAAACUCGAGGCUCAACCUCGAGAUGUCGGCGGAAACCACUUGGCUAGAGUCCGGAAGAGGAGAGUGGAAUUCCUGGUGUAGCGGUGAAAUGCGCAGAUAUCAGGAAGAACACCUAUGGCGAAGGCAGCUCUCUGGGACGGUACUGACGCUGAGACGCGAAGGCGUGGGGAGCAAACAGG
rnacentral:rRNA from 1 species